UGGGGAAUAUUGCAAAUGGGCGAAAGCCUGAUGCAGCGACGCCGCGUGAGGGAUGACGGCCUUCGGGUUGUAAACCUCUUUCAGUAGGGACGAAGCGCAAGUGACGGUACCUGCAGAAGAAGCACCGGCUAACUACGUGCCAGCAGCCGCGGUAAUACGUAGGGUGCGAGCGUUGUCCGGAAUUACUGGGCGUAAAGAGCUCGUAGGCGGUUUGUCACGUCGUCUGUGAAAUCCUAGGGCUUAACCCUGGACGUGCAGGCGAUACGGGCUGACUUGAGUACUACAGGGGAGACUGGAAUUUCUGGUGUAGCGGUGGAAUGCACAGAUAUCAGGAAGAACACCGAUGGCGAAGGCAGGUCUCUGGGUAGUAACUGACGCUGAGGAGCGAAAGCAUGGGUAGCGAACAGG
rnacentral:rRNA from 1 species